UGUACGUACCUGUACCUGUACCUGUACCCCACCUUACGAGCUCUGGUACAAGCCACUACGCGGGUCCCCUACCACCAGUCACCUCACCCCUAACUCUACCAUCCAAACAACCCGCCUCCGCAAGCUUAACCAAUCACGCACCCAGUUCAAUCCAGAAUCAUUGAAGCAUCCAAUCCGCUAGGGCGAUACUUGAGUCGGCCCGCCCGCCAGGUGUCUUCUGGGAAUUGUAGUUUAUUCUAUCGCCAUCCACAUGUGUUUAAACUACAAUUCCCUCAGGUUUAGAUUCCAAAACGAAUACCCGAUAUGCAAAGGAGAAUUAUGACAACAUGUCUUUAUCUUCAUAACAGUAUAUGUAUUAUAAUUUCAUUAAUACAUUAUAAUUAUCAUUGUUAAUGAAAGAUUUUGAUUUAACUAUUCCUCUACAUAGGAAAUAGGCGUGUGAACAUUUGUGACACUUAAUUCCAUUUUUAUCCCCCCCCCCCCCCAUUCGCAGCCAUUCUAUAGAUUACACUGUUCUGGAAUUGUAAAAACUUUUAACACACGGAUGAAACAAUCGUUUGCAAAACCAGGUGAAGAUCUCCUUUAUCUAAAGGAAGGUUCAUGUAGCGCCAUCUAUCGGCUGUUUUUCACAUUACGGGCUCUUUUAUUAACCAAAUAGCUUUAACUAGCACGGAGGGAUACCUGGAGAUUUUACAACCAGCCUCUUUAAUCCUUUAGGGCCCCAAUUUCACAUUACAAAGUUGCAUCAGGACUUUAUGGACCUAGGAAUGAUACGGACUGGAGCCUGGAAUUUACUCAUCAGGCACUGGUUACUGAGGGAACAGGAGAGACGGGGUGUAAAUCCGUGGCUGUAGUGAAGGAUCACAGAGAAAACUCGAUGAGGGACAUUACUUCAUGACAGAGAAAGGAGCCUCUGGCUUUAUCCAAGCAAGAUCUGGGAUGCUUAUCCGCACUAUACCGCUUGUCUAGUUCUAUACCCACCUGAGGGUUAACACUUGUUUGGAAUGGCCGCCUACAUCGAAUUUGUGCCCCCUCCGGAAUGCCCGGUGUUCGAGCCCAGCUGGGAGGAAUUCUCUGAUCCCCUGAGUUUCAUCGGACGCAUCCGACCGAUUGCUGAAAAGACAGGGAUAUGCAAAUCCAACCUCCCAAGGACUGGCAGCCGCCCUUUGCCUGCGAUGUCAAAAGCUUCUGCUUCACCCCUCGGGUACUGCGCCUCAACGAACUAGAGGCAAUGACCCGUGUCAAACUCGAUUUCUUGGAUCAGCUGGGAAAAUUUUGGGAGCUGCAAGGUUCCGCGCUCAGAAUUCCAGUGGUGGAUGGCAAGCUGUUGGGUGGUUUCCAGUGAGGGGGGAUUUGAGGUUGUCACUAAAGAGAAGAAAUGGUCUCAGGUGGGCAAUCGGAUGGGAUACCAGCCAGGCAAAGGCACAGGCUCUCUUCUGAAGUUGCACUAUGACCGAAUCCUCUACCCCUACGAGCUGUUCCAGUCUGGCGUCAGCCUGAUGGAAAGAAAUGCACCUAGAAUAUUCUAGAGAGAAACCUUCUGUUUCAGUUUUUAGUAAAGGUACCGGUAUAGGACCUGUUAUCCAGAAUGCUCGGGACCUGGGGCUUUCCGGAUAAGGGGUCUUUCCGUAAUUUGGCUCAU